AUUGAACGCUGGCGGCAGGCCUAACAAAUGCAAGUCGAACGGUAACAGGAAACAGCUUGCUGUUUCGCUGACGAGUGGCGGACGGGUGAGCAAUGUCUGGGAAACUGACUGAUGGAGGGGGUUAACUACUGGAAACGGUAGCUAAUACCGCAUAACGUCGCAAGACCAAAGAGGGGGACCUUCGGGCCUCUUGCCAUCGGAUGUGCCCAGAUGGGAUUAGCUAGUAGGUGGGGUAACGGCUCACCUAGGCGACGAUCCCUAGCUGGUCUGAGAGGAUGACCAGCCACACUGGAACUGAGACACGGUCCAGACUCCUACGGGAGGCAGCAGUGGGGAAUAUUGCACAAUGGGCGAAAGCCUGAUGCAGCCAUGCCGCGUGUAUGAAGAAGGCCUUCGGGUUGUAAAGUACUUUCAGCGGGGAGGAAGGGAGUAAAGUUAAUACCUUUGCUCAUUGACGUUACCCACAGAAUAAGCACCGGCUAACUCCGUG
rnacentral:rRNA from 1 species